rnacentral:rRNA from 1 species
CGCCAGAGAACUACAAGUGAAAAACUAGAAACUCCAAGGACUUGGCGGUGUCCCACAUCAGCCUAGAGGAGCCUGUCCUAUAAUCGAUACCCCACGUUUUACCUCACCAUCCUUUGCAACACAGCCUAUAUACCGCCGUCGUCAGCCAACCUUAUGAAAGAAAUAAAGUUGGCAAAACAGUUCAACAACUAGUACGUCAGGUCAAGGUGUAGCACAUGAGAUGGCAGAGAUGGGCUACAUUUUUUAUCAUAAAAAACACGAAUGGCACAAUGAAAUAAGUGCCUGAAGGCGGAUUUAGCAGUAAGAUAAACAAGAUAUUUUAUCUAAAACCCGCUCUGGGACG